CCAGCUGUGCAUUCUACAAAGCCAGUUUAAACAUCUUGUGCAGAGCGAUGUCGUCCAAAGAUUGUCCUAAAGCAAAUUUUGUCACCUUUGUGGAGAGGACACUGACGAGAAAUGGAUCUCCAUUCCCCGCCUGUUCCCAGAAGAAUGUCGCCAGUUGCACUGCCAACCCAGUGCCCAGCCCAUCAUCUCCCUGAGACACCUGCAACCGACGAGCCAUUGCCACACAGAUGAAUAGAGCUGAGGAUCACCGUGGAGCCGGAGUGAUGUCAGUCAAGAUGCGAGAGCCUGCAAUGGAGCACGCCACGAGGGAGAAUGUAAUGGACAGACAGAGCACGGAGAGGAUCUCCGCCCACUGCACCAUGGCUGAGGGUGAGGGGGGGACCUUCUAGACUAGGUCCUGGUCUCAAGUUAAGGCUGGAGGACCACAAAUGUGCACCCACCCUCUCCUGCCUCCUCUACCGCUGUCGUCAGCACGUCAGCACCAUCAGCACGGUGUUGGCUCCACGGGACUGCCAUUCUCCAGCGUCGAUGGGGCUGGAGUUUCCCUUGACUCUGCCUCCAGCCUCUAAGACCAGGACUCCACCUUGACCAGUGGACACGUAUGCUCGACCAAGGCUCCUAGCUCCCUCCUUUCCGCCAUGGCCCGGCAGUCCACUAGCUCCACCAGGCUCCCUCGUCCCUCUGGCUCCACCUUGGUCUAGCAUCGACCAUCCUGUGCCUCAUCCCUAAAUCCCUCCAGCUCCUUCAUCCCUUCGGCUUCUCUUCAGUCCUCUGUAGCUCCAGCUCCAGCAUGGCCUUUCAAAUCCAAUCGUCCGCAUCAGUCGGUGGCAACCUCUGCUCCGCCUUGGCCCCCCAGAUCCUCCCCUACACCCUGGCUCAUCGGCUCUCCAUCUCCACCCUGGGGCUCCUCCACCACCUGCCCCACUGCCAUGGCUCCUCCCUCUGUUAGCACCACAGUGGGACACCAUCAUGGCUGUGUCCUGGGUCCAGCUGGACUCCUCCUGCUCCAAGUCCUUCCUGUUUCCUCCCUGGUUCCUCCCUCCAUCUGAUCUGCACUGGCACCUCCUGUUUCACCUUGUAUAAAGCCACUGGCUUAAGGGUUAGAGAAGAAAAAACAACCUGGCUUAGACAGACUUGCAGAACUGAUUUGAUAGUUUUUCUGCAGUGCUCAAGGACACAGGAAGUCAAGAGGGUAGAGUUGUGUACAACAGCAGUUUUGAAUACUGCAGCCAAAGUACUUUAUUAGUCAUGCUCAGCUUGAUGCAGGAAACUAAUGUCACAGUUCGCAGGUCAAGACGCACAAAAAUUCAAUACUAUAAAUGCACAAUAGCACACACACCGAUUUACAAAAAUAAAACAAAAACAGCUGUCAUUCAAGGCCAGAUGACCCAAAUGAACACUAAUAAAGAUAUAGAAAAACAACAAUAAA